CCUACGGGUGACAGCAGUGAGGAAUAUUGGUCAAUGGACGGAAGUCUGAACCAGCCAUGCCGCGUGCAGGAAGACGGCUCUAUGAGUUGUAAACUGCUUUUGUACAAGGGUAAACCUGAAUACGUGUAUUCAGCUGAAAGUACUGUACGAAUAAGGAUCGGCUAACUCCGUGCCAGCAGCCGCGGUAAUACGGAGGAUCCAAGCGUUAUCCGGAUUUAUUGGGUUUAAGGGGUGCGUAGGCGGAAUGAUAAUUUAGGGGUGAAAUGCCCGGCCGUAACGGGGGAACGGCCUUUAAUACUGUUGAUCUAGAGAGUGGAUGCGGUAGGCGGAAUGUAUGGUGUAGCGGUGAAAUGCUUAGAGAUCAUACAGAACACCGAUUGCGAAGGCAGCUAACCAAUCUAUAUCUGACGUUGAGGCACGAAAGCGUGGGGAGCAAACAGGAUUAGAUACCCUUGUAGUC
rnacentral:rRNA from 1 species